AUGGCGGACCACCUGUCAAGCGUGUUUACCAGCCUCAGAGGUAGCAGCAGCACAGAGGGGCAGCUUGCUUCCGUGCCGGAGGAGAGCACCAUCGGCUUCACGGAUGCCUUCGGCCCGCCGCCCAACUCCUAUCGCGACUCAAUCCGGAGAGUCAGCGUCCUCUUCCCCGAGUGGCGCAUCAGAUCGACUCUCUCCUCCCAGUCCGAUCAGAGUGGAUCCAACUACGACUCCAGCAGCUCUGUUGCCUCGAGGUCCAACAACUCUGGCAACUCCUCCGGCUCCGCGUCCGUGGGCGGAGCAGACUUGGGUACCAGCGAGCUCAUGAAGAUUGCUCACAGAAUGGUCAACGACGGCUACACCCAGCGCAUGGUACGAGCAUUCCACAGCACAUCUCUCACGGAAACAAUUGGCCCGGACCCUGUGCUGAAGAAUUGGUUCGUCGAGCUUGACGUCGACUGGGUUCUCCAAUUACGGCCACAGCUCCAGCUCCAAAAGGCAACUGCGUAUUGGCUCCAAGAAUUGGUACAGAGGUGGAUCCGAGCUCUCGCCUUAAUUGUCGCCAGUAUCAAGGUAAUGAUCUAUACGAUCCAAGAGGCUCCGGCAGUGGCACGGUUUGGCGAAGCAAGUAUCUCAGCAAUGCUCGGCGUUGUCGACACCAUGCUCGAUGUUAUCGAGGAGGAUAAGCUACAGGUUGCCCUACACAUGUAUAUGUGUGUCUCCAGCGCAUCAUACAUGAUUAUGAUGAUGCCCGUAGUCUCUUUGGAAGCCCAACGCAUUUUCGAUGAGAUAAGCGCCUCGUUGAAGACAGAAGAGAACAGAUUAGUUGAGGCCGUAUCCAGCACCAUGAUGAACAUCAGGAUAGAUUAUGAUGAAAUCUCGUGGGAUAUCGAGAUUGAAGGAAACGGAGGGGGAAUUCACACAAAGAUUCGGUUCUUGGUGGAUUGCAUACUAUCGAUGAGGAAAGCAUGUGCUUCGACGCUCAAAUCUGCACAAAGCCAAAGCACCGUAGAGCUUCGUGACGCCAUAGAUGGAACAACAGAGUAUCUGUUGGAUCAGCUUUUGGGAGAUUCAGAAUGGUUCUCUGAUCCAAGCCUCAGGUCUAUGUUCUUGCUCAACAACUCCAAUUUUGUUGCUCAGCUUCUGGGAAUUGAACUUACAACAGAAUGCGAGAAGUACAAAGAUUUCUAUCUUCAUUUUUCUUGGGCACAUGUGUUGUCCUACAUACAGAACUGGAAUUCUCCUGGACUUCAACGUCGUUGGGUCCACACUUCUCCGCUAGCUAAAUUCAAGUCAGCAUUUCAUAAAACGUACCAGACUCAGAAGUUCUGGAAGGUUCCGGACCCGCAGCUCAGAGAUGAGCUGCGCAGAGCUAUCAUCGAGAGGGUUAUUUCACGUUACCGUGACUACCUGAAGGAGCAUCCAGAGCUAGCUGAACAGGUUAGCCGUGGAAGCAACAGUCCCGAGGUUUUGGAGGAGAUGUUGGAAGAGCUAUUUGAAGGAUGA
rnacentral:rRNA from 1 species